UGGGAAGGGCCUGGGGCCGCGCGGCGCUUGGAGGGUCGGUCCGGCGCCGGCAGCGUCUCUGCCCGCCUCCCUAUGAAAUGAAGUGCCGGUUACUGCCCGGAAAGGAGGGGGAGUUGGUGGCUUGGGACUUAUGAAAGAGAAGGUUUGUAAUCACCACCGGAAGGAAAGGGAGAAGGAACUGACCAGACCAGCAGGACUGGGAAGAGUGGGAGCCCCCGCUGCGCUUGGAGACAGGGAAACUUGAACACAGAAACAUACACACAGGGAGAGUCCUUUGUGAAUAUGAAGGCAGAGACUGGGGUGAUGCGAAUGUCCAAGACUGUCAGCAACCACCAGAAGCUGGGGGAGAGGCGGGAACAGAUGCUCUCUCAAAGCCCUCAGAAGGAACCAACCCUGCCGACAUCUUGAUCUCGGACUCCAGCCUCCAGAACUCUGAGACACUGCCGCAGCUGCUCCAAGCAGGCCUCUAGCUGCUGGUGGCUCUGGCCCAGCUCUUCUGAGUCUCUUGUUCACCUGUGAAGACCCCGCUCCAUCCUGAGUCAUGGCUCAGCCUCCCCUGGCUGGGAUCUGUCUGCUUGAGCUAGCCCGUGGGCCUUUACCCACGCAGCUCCCUCCUCCCGAGUUCCUGACCUCCGCAUCCUCUGAGAGUCAACCCUUCCAGGAGCCCUUCUCUGACCACCCCAGCCCACAGAGGCUUCUCAGAACUCCAGGCUUCAACUCUGGACCAAAUGAUUUGAGGCUGGACAGUCCCUGGCUUCCCACCAGCAGAGGGUGCUGUUUUGGUGGACAAGGAUGUGAAUGGUGCUCACUGGAGUUGGGCUGUGUGGGGGCCCGGCUCCAAGCUGUCCCUCUUGGUCGUUCUCUUUUCCAUGGUGUCCUUAGGGCCACUCAACCUCAGAAUCCCCCAAGGACAGGGCCCAGGUUCCCCUGCUUCUCUGCUCCCUGGCACAGGUGGGCAUAGCCUGGCUCAUUUGGUACCCUGGGUUCCCUGCAGGACUGACCAUUUCCCUGUCUUGACCCACCUGGGUGAGCAUCAGCAGCCGUUCCUGCAGGAAGGUUGUAUCCUGAGCCUGUGCAGGGGUCUCAGCUACCGCCAUCGAGAAUCCAUUUGGGCCCUGAAGUGCCUGGGCCCUGUUGCCAUCCCAACUCUGCUCCUGGCCUUGCAGGCCUGGCACCAGCAUCUCCUGCAGGUACACUCAGUCUAGGGGGCUCCUCCUAAUCUUCAGACCACACUGUUAUGACCCUGAACAAGCUUUUCCCUAACCAUCUGGACUGUUUUCCCAUCUGAACCGUGAGAGGAGUCAGCUGGAUGAUCGCAGGGUCUUCCCAAAUGUUUGGGAGAGGGGCGUCCCUCCUGGGCGGAACAGAAGCCCCUGCACUGGCCUCCUUCCCCAGCUACUGCUCCAAGAAUGAAGACCUGGGAGUGAAGUGUAGGGAGGGCCGAAUGCGCAGGAGGGCCAGUGUUCAGGGCCCUGUCAUGCACCCACGUGGAUGGGGGGCUCUGGUCAUCCCUACCUCAGGGGGCCCCAGGCUGAGCUCUGGGCCAAGAGACUGUCGGCCCAUCUGGUCCAAACACUGCUGGGCCUUUUCCACUUCUGUCUGCAGUAAGUAGCAGGAUCAUGGGGGCAGAAGGGACUGUCUGCCCGUCCUCUGCCCCUCUGCCCCUCCCCCAUCUCUAAGCACCCUCACUUGUCUUCUGCGUCCUGGUCUGGCCUCCUCCACUCCUCCUGUCUCUGGGAACCCCACAGCCUCUCCUGCUCCAGGUGGGCCACAGAGCAUUUCACCUGCUGGGGGGAGGGCUGAAGGUAGCACAAGCCCCUGGAGAGGGCUGGCCCAGCCUCACGACACACAUCCCCCACCCCCCGCAGGGCAGCGUCUGCAGCCCCUGAUAAAGCAGGCUCACUCCACAAGCCCCUGCCUGCUCCACCAGCUGUGAUAAGCCCAGCUGGGGGCCCAGCAUGGACCUGGAGCUGCACAGCUAUUAUCACUACUGGCUCUAGAUGUAAAACCCUCCACCUCCAGCUGGACACAAGACACAUCACCUUCUCCAGCCCAGCUCCUGAUGGCUUUGGAGCUCCAGCAAGAGUACAGGGGCUGGGACUUCCCUGGUGGCGCAGUGGUUAAGAAUCCUCCUGCCAAUGCAGGGGACACAGGUUCAAGCCCUGGUCUGGGAAGAUUCCACAUGUCGUGGAGUAACUAAGCCCAUGCGCCACAACUACUGAAGCCCAUGUGCCUAGAGCCCAUGCUCUGCAGCAAGAGAAGCCACCACAGUGAGAAGUCGGUGCACUGCAACGAAGAGUAGCCCCUGCUCGCCGCAACUAGAGAAAGCCCGCCGGUGGCAACGAAGACCCAACACAGCCAAAAAUAAAUAAAUAUAUUUUAAAAAAACAAAC